rnacentral:rRNA from 1 species
UGAAACGACUCUCGGCAACGGAUAUCUCGGCUCUCGCAUCGAUGAAGAACGUAGCGAAAUGCGAUACUUGGUGUGAAUUGCAGAAUCCCGUGAACCAUCGAGUCUUUGAACGCAAGUUGCGCCCGAAGCCGUUAGGCCGACGGCACGCCUGCCUGGGCGUCACGCAUCGCGUCUCCCCCAGCCCACGCCACGUGG